GGCGGAGGGAAAACCAGAUUAGUAUUGAUACAUUAGAGAGGAGGAGGAGGGAGAACCAUUCUAGUAUAGAUAUAUUAGAGAGGAGGAGGAGGGAGAACCACUAUAGUACAGCUACAUUAGAGAGGAGGAUGAGGGAGAACCAGUCUAGUACAGCUACAUUAGAGAGGAGGAGCAGGAGGGAGAACCAGUCCAGUACAGCUACAUUAGCAAGGAGGAGGAGUAGGAGGAGGAGGGACAACCAGUCUACUAUAGCUACAUUAGAAAGGCGGAGGAGGGAGAACCAGUCUAGUAUAGCUACAUUAGAGAGGAGAGGGGAGAACCAGUCUAGUAUAGCUAUAUUAGAGAGGAGGAGGAGGGAGAACCAGUCUAGUAUAGCUACAUUAGAGAGGAGGAGGAAGGAAAACCAGUAUAGUAUAGAUACCUUAGAGAGAAGGAGAAUGGAGAACCAGUAUAGUAUAGAUACAUUAGAGAGGAGGAGGGAGAACCAGUCUAGUAUAGCUACAUUAGAGAGGAGGAGGGACAACCAGUCUAGUAUAAAUACAUUAGAGAGGAGGAGGAGGGAGAACCACUAUAGUACAGCUACAUUAGAGAGGAGGAUGAGGGAGAACCAGUCUAGUACAGCUACAUUAGAGAGGAGGAGCAGGAGGGAGAACCAGUCUAGUACAGCUACAUUAGAGAGGAGGAGGAGGGAGAAGCAGUCAAGCAUAGAUACAUUAGAGAGGAGGAGGAGGAGGGAGAAGCACUAUAGUACAGCUACAUUAGAGAGGAGGAGGAGGGAGAACCAGUCUAGUACAGCUACAUUAGAGAGGAGGAGGAGGGAGAACCAGUCAAGCAUAGAUACAUUAGAGAGGAGGAGGAGGGAGAACCAGUGGAGUACAGCCACAUUAGAGAGGAGGAGGAAUAACCAGUCUAGUACAGCUACAUGAGAGAGGAGGAGGAUGGAGAAUAAGUAUAGUACAGCUACAUAAGAGAGGAGGAGGGAGAACCAGUCUAGUAUAGAUACAUUAGAGAGUAGGAGGAGGGAGAACCAGUCUACUACAGCUACAUUAGAGAGGAGGAAGAGGGAGAACAGGUCUAGUAUAGCUACAUUAGAGAGGAGGAGGAGGGACAACCAGUCUAGUAUAGAUACCUUAGAAAGGAGGAGAAGGGAGAACCAGUCCAGUACAGCUA
ensembl:lncRNA